rnacentral:lncRNA from 1 species
CUGUAUGUAUUUUAAAACGUAUUUCACUUGAUAGGACCUCUAGUGCAAUAGUGAAUAGAAGUGGUAAGAGCAGAUAUUCGUUACUUACUUAAAAUCUUAGAGGAAGAGAUUAAAACAUUCAGCAUUUCACCAUUAAUUAUGAUUUUACCUAUAUGCUUAACAUAUAUGUUCUUUUUCAGGUUAAAUUUCUCUUCUUAGUUUGCUGAGAGUUUUUAUCACAAAUUAAUAUUGGAUUUUAUAAAUUUUUUUAGCACCUAAUGAGUUGAUCAUAUGGUUUUCCCUUUUUAUUCCGUUAAUACAGGUUAACCAUCCUUAAUCCAAAAAUCCAAAAUUCCAAAUGCUCCAAAAUCUGCAACUUUUUUGAGUGCCAACAAUGACGCCCUGCCCCAAGUGGAAAAUUCCAUUCGACAGCACCACUAUUCGUCCAGUUGCUGAAGGCAAGAAUGGAAGAGCUAUCCCUGCCUCCUCCCAUGUCCUCACUUUCUACACCCAUUCCAUCGGUGAGUCUGCUGAUUUUAUCUUCAAAAUGUAUCUCUGACCUGCCAUCUUCUACCUGUUUCCACUGUCUG